rnacentral:rRNA from 1 species
UUUCCCUACGGGGCGCAGCAGUGAGGAAUAUUGGUCAAUGGGCGGGAGCCUGAACCAGCCAAGUCGCGUGAGGGAAGACGGUCCUAUGGAUUGUAAACCUCUUUUGUCAGGGAGCAACGCCGGCUACGUGUAGCCGGACUGAGAGUACCUGAAGAAAAAGCAUCGGCUAACUCCGUGCCAGCAGCCGCGGUAAUACGGAGGAUGCGAGCGUUAUCCGGAUUUAUUGGGUUUAAAGUGUGCGUAGGCGGAAUGCCAAGUCAGCGGUAAAAUCGCGGGGCUCAACCUCGCUCCGCCGUUGAAACUGG